rnacentral:rRNA from 1 species
AUUGAACGCUGGCGGCAUGCCUAACACAUGCAAGUCGAACGGCAGCACGGCAGUAGCAAUACUGUGGGUGGCGAGUGGCGGACGGGUGAGGAAUACGUCGGAAUCUGCCCAGUCGUGGGGGAUAACUAGCCGAAAGGUUAGCUAAUACCGCAUACGACCGAGAGGUGAAAGCGGGGGACCGCAAGGCCUCGCGCGAUUGGAUGAGCCGACGUCGGAUUAGCUAGUUGGAGGGGUAAAGGCCCACCAAGGCGACGAUCCGUAGCUGGUCUGAGAGGAUGAUCAGCCACACUGGAACUGAGACACGGUCCAGACUCCUACGGGAGGCAGCAGUGGGGAAUAUUGGACAAUGGGCGCAAGCCUGAUCCAGCAAUGCCGCGUGUGUGAAGAAGGCCUCGGUUGUAAGUAC